UCCUUCAAACAUCCAGGCCCUUUUGGAUUUCCCUUAAUCGGGUCCGCCCAUUUACUAACAGCAGGACCUUCAGAAAGCUAUAAUACUUUAAUGCGCAUAGCACAAUAUUCUCCUGUCACUCGGGUAUGGUUUGGGCCAUUUUUUUACCUUUUUAUCUCUAAACCGGGGGACGUGGAAAUUUUGCUAAACAAGUCUGUUGAUAAAAGCAUAUAUUACGCUAAAUACUUAGGAGAUGCUUUAAAAACUGGCUUACUGAUCUCUCCACCUGAAAUUUGGAAAGGACGAAGAAAACUGAUAAAUCAAACUUUUAAUUCAAAUGUUGUCAAUUCAUUUGUUCCUGCGUUUACUAAAUGUGCAAACCGUUUAGCAGACGAACUAGAUAAAGUAUGUAAGGGAACAAAUGAU